GGGGGCGUUUAUGGAUUCGACGGGGACUGGACGAGCGCGGGUCGCGAGUAGUGGGGAGUCGUCCACUUUAAAACGCUAAAGCCUAUUAAACGGCAAACAACAAACAAACUACGCAUUAGCAGCCUAAGAAACUGUUAGCGUGCUCCUCCUCGGCAUCGCCCAUGUGAUCGAGAUAGGGGCUAACUCAUAGUGGGAUACGCUGUCACAUCUCCGCCUGGGGUGUGCUGAAGAAGAUAAUCAGGCUGGUUCCUGCAGAAGCCGGUUACGGGGCGUUUGCUUGAUCGACAACAAAACUGUGACUACACUCGUAGAAGCCUGUGUGGCGUAGUCUUCGGACAGGGGUUCAAAUCCCCUCGCCUCCACCA
rnacentral:tmRNA from 1 species